rnacentral:rRNA from 1 species
CCUACGGGGGGCAGCAGUGGGGAAUAUUGGACAAUGGGGGCAACCCUGAUCCAGCCAUGCCGCGUGUGUGAAGAAGGCCCUCGGGUUGUAAAGCACUUUCAGUGAGGAAGAACGCCUGGUGGUUAAUACCCAUCAGGAAAGACAUCACUCACAGAAGAAGCACCGGCUAACUCCGUGCCAGCAGCCGCGGUAAUGCGGAGGGUGCGAGCGUUAAUCGGAAUUACUGGGCGUAAAGCGCGCGUAGGUGGCUUGAUAAGCCGGUUGUGAAAGCCCCGGGCUCAACCUGGGAACGGCAUCCGGAACUGUCAAGCUAGAGUGCAGGAGAGGAAGGUAGAAUUCCCGGUGUAGCGGUGAAAUGCGUAGAGAUCGGGAGGAAUACCAGUGGCGAAGGCGGCCUUCUGGACUGACACUGACACUGAGGUGCGAAAGCGUGGGUAGCAAACAGGAUUAGAUACCCUUGUAGUC